rnacentral:lncRNA from 1 species
GUCUUCCUGCUUAGCUAUUUGAGUCCAUAUCGGCCGCGCUUGCUGGCAUCUAGCCAUUUGCCAAUAGCUGCUGGGUAGGGGAAUGACUUAAUGCUGAACUCCUUGCUCUUGAAUGCCCGCRAGCAUGCUGUGAGGUGCUGCUCCUGGAGUCUGUUGCGCUGGGGGUCCUUGAGGUACUUAAUUGCUGAAAGCAUCCGCUCAUCUUCCACUGAGCCUGGCACCAUAACCA